rnacentral:tRNA from 1 species
GGGCCUAUAGCUUCAGCUGGUAGAGCGCACGCCUGUAAGCGUGCAAAGGUCGAUGGUUCGAGUCCAUUUAGGCCCACCA